UUCUGAUGUCAUACAGGUGGAUACCUCCUCAAUAAAAGCUCAUGCUGAAGAGACCAAGACAGACUUGAAGAACACUGCUGGAGAGAAGAAGUUGACGAGAGAGAAUCUCUGAAUUUGUUGAGUGAAUAUUUAAACUCCUGUUAAUAUUGAAUCGAAGGAAACAUUUGAAAAAUGAUUGGACAUAAAAUGCUUCUGCUACUUCUGAUUAUUAGUUUGGGGAGCUGUCAAAAUACAACUCCUACAACAACCACAGCUAGUGCCGCAACAACCACUGCUGUCCCAGAAACAACCACAGCUGUCCCAGAAACAACCACAGCAGCUCCAACAUCAACAGAUGCUCCUACAACAACCACAGCAGCUCCAACAUCAACAGAUGCUCCUACAACAACCACAGCAGCUCCAACAUCAACAGAUGCUCCUACAACAACCACAGCAGCUCCAACAUCAACAGAUGCUCCUACAACAACCACAGCUGGUCCUACAACAACCACAGCCAGUGACACAACCACAGAUGUCCCAUCAACAACCACGGCAGCUCCUACAACAACCACAGCUGCUCUGGCAACAACCACAUUAGCUCUAACAUCAGCAGAUGCACCUACAACAACUACAG